CAACAAAUUGACAGGCAAUAACUAAAUGAAAAUACAAACUAUAAAAAAUUGGCCAAAUUGCGUAUUUAAGAAUGGCUGACAUAAAUUUAUUAUUCAAUUAAUAAAUUGUAAUAAUGUGAAAAUGUGUGUGUCUGUGUGUGUACCUAUCUCUCACCCUAAGAAGAGCUUCUCUCCACUGCGCCUCUUGUGGGCACUUGUUGUGUGUCCUUCUCGGUCUCAAAGAGAACGGGUUAAAUUGGGGCAUAACAAAAUUAAUUGCAACUGCUUCUACUCUAGCCAACCAAAAACACAUACAAAUAAACAGUAUUUUCAAAAUAGAAGCGGAAGAGUAAUCCAGCUGUGUUUCAAGUUCCACAAAUAUGGCAGGCAGGAUUAGGUUCCACACACACACAUACAAGCUCCAUUGUAUGGGUGUCAGAACUCUUUGUUAUUGUUGCGCUAAUGUCGUGCUCACCAGCUGUUGGGUCCAGGUCCUGUUGAGCUCCACAUACACAAAUGUAUACACACACACACACACACACAUACAUACAUUUAUUCGGGUGCUAGUCUAUGCAUACUUACAUGCAUGCAUAUCCUGCAAAAUGUCUACCCUGGCUGCAUAUUGGGGCAACCAAUAAAAAUUACCUACUUUAGGGACAUAUCGAAUUUGAAUUAAUUGUAUUUUUAUUUCCCCGCAAAAAUGAACAAAUGUAUUAAAUUAUAACACAAUUACAAUUAUAUUGAAUUAAAUUAACUUUAAUUUUAAUUGUAAUCCUUUACCACUGUGCAAGUCAAGCAGCCGCAGACCAACACACAGCUGUAAUUGUUGUUGUUUUUAUUAGCCUUAAUCAUCCUUCAAUCCUCUCUGCGUCUCUCUCGCUCUCAUUCACAGACACAAAGAGCAGAGACAAACUCACACAAAUGCGUAUCAGGGUUCGCUGUGGACUUCAUUCGGCUUGGCUUGGUCCCCAGCAGACUCAAAUGUGAGUAAUUCUGUUAUCCAGCAGACUCUGUAAAGCCAAAUUCAAACCUCCAAUUUUUUUCGAGUUCAAAUUUGGAUUUCAACUGAAGAGAAAUUUCAUUUUCGUCCUUCGUGCAGCGCACAACGCGCACAGCGUUUUUUAUUUUUCUUAUUUGCCCAUCAAUCCGCUGCUCCCGCUCGCUAGCUCGUUCGAUAAUUCCUUGCAAUAUGUUGGCGCAGGUUCAGCAAAAACCAAAGCGCCGAUAUUUUUGACUAAAAUGCAUUUUCAAUAUAAUUAAAAAUAAAAAUAAAAAUAAAAA